AUGGCCUUUUCAGUUAUGGAUCUUAAUGCUGGUGUAAGUGAACAUUCAGGUGAUUGGUUGGAUCAGGAUUCAGUUUCAGAUCAGUUUAGUGCAGAAUUUGAAGUUGAAUCUCUCGACUCAGAAGAUUAUAGCCCUAGUGAAGAAGGACAAGAACUCUCAGAUGAAGAUGAUGAGGUAUAUCAAGUUACUGUGUAUUAUAGAGUUACUGUGUAUUAGGCAGGGGAGAGUGAUGCAGUUUCAUUUGAAGAAGAUCCUGAAAUUUCCUUAGCUGACUAUUGGAAAUGCACUCAUGCAAUGAAAUGAAUCCCACACUUCUGUCACGUUGUAACAGAUGUUGGGCCCUUGGUGAGAAUUGGCUUCCUGAAGAUAAAGGGGAAAUCUCUGAGAAAGCCAAACUGGAAAGCUCAACACAAGCUGAAGAGGGCUUUGAUGUUCCUGAUUGUAAACACACUACAGUGAAUGAUUUCAAAGAGUCGUGUGUUGAGGAAAACGAUGAUAAAAUUACACAAGUCUCACAAUCACAAGAAAGGGAGGACUAUUCUCAGCCGUCAUCUUCUGUAGCAUAUUUAUAGCAGCCAAGAAGAUGCGAAAGAGUUUGAAAGGGAAGAAACACAAGACAAAGAAGAAAGUAUGGAAUCUAGUUUGCCCCUUAAUGCCAUUGAACCUUGUGUGACUUGUCAAGGUCGACCUAAAAAUGGUUGCAUUGUCCAUGGCAAAACAGGACAUCUUAUGGCCUGCUUUACAUGUGCAAAGAAGCUAAAGAGAAGGAAUAAGCCCUGCCCGGUAUGCAGACAACCAAUUCAAAUGAUUGUGCUAACUUAUUUCCCCUAGUUGCCCUGUGUAUAAGAGAAUUACAUUUCUAACUAAUUAACCCUAAGAAUUCAGACAACAUGAAAUUUAUUUACAUGUAUCAAAGUGAGAAAAUGCCUCAAUCCAUGUGGAUUUCUUCUCUUUAGUAUAACUUACCUACUUUGGUAGUGAAAUAGUAAAUACUUACUUUGAAGAAAA